AUACGUAGGUGGCAAGCGUUGUCCGGAAUUAUUGGGCGUAAAGCGCGCGCAGGCGGACUGAUCAGUCUGGUCUAAAAGAGCGGGGCUCAGCCCCGUUAGGGGCCGGAAACUGUCAGUCUUGAGUGCCGGAGAGGAAAGUGGAAUUCCCAGUGUAGCGGUGAAAUGCGUAGAGAUUGGGAGGAACACCAGUGGCGAAGGCGACUUUCUGGACGGUGUCUGACGCUGAGGCGCGAAAGCCAGGGGAGCGAACGGGAUUAGAUACCCCGGUAGUCCUGGCCGUAAACGAUGGGUACUAGGUGUAGAGGGUAUCGACCCCUUCUGUGCCGGAGUUAACGCAAUAAGUACCCCGCCUGGGGAGUACGGCCGCAAGGUUGA
rnacentral:rRNA from 1 species